rnacentral:rRNA from 1 species
UGGGGAAUAUUGCACAAUGGGGGAAACCCUGAUGCAGCCAUGCCGCGUGUGUGAAGAAGGCCUUCGGGUUGUAAAGCACUUUCAGUUGUGAGGAAAGGUUAGUAGUUAAUACCUGCUAGCUGUGACGUUAACAACAGAAGAAGCACCGGCUAACUCCGUGCCAGCAGCCGCGGUAAUACGGAGGGUGCGAGCGUUAAUCGGAAUUACUGGGCGUAAAGCGCACGCAGGCGGUCUGUUAAGCUAGAUGUGAAAGCCCCGCGCUCAACGUGGGAGGGUCAUUUAGAACUGGCAGACUAGAGUCUUGGAGAGGGGAGUGGAAUUCCAGGUGUAGCGGUGAAAUGCGUAGAGAUCUGGAGGAACAUCAAUGGCGAAGGCAACUCCCUGGCCAAAGACUGACGCUCAUGUGCGAAAGUGUGGGUAGCGAACAGGAUUAGAUACCCUGGUAGUCCACACCGUAAACGCUGUCUACUAGCUGUUUGUGGAUUUAAUCCGUGAGUAGCGAAGCUAACGCGAUAAGUAGACCGCCUGGGGAGUACG